rnacentral:misc_RNA from 1 species
AAGUCGUAACAAGGUUUCCGUAGGUGAACCUGCGGAAGGAUCAUUCAUAAAUUGUCUUUUAAUAUGGACAUUUUAAAUCCAUAUCCACCUUGUGUGCAUUGUUAUUAGUUUGCUUUGGUAUACUUUUGUAAGUGUAGGUUUUUAUUUUUUAAAAAUCUCGCUUCUACUCUUUUGUUUUACAAGGGAGUUGGGUAUGCCAGAGUUAAAUAUUAAACACCUUUUGAAAUUCUUUUGUCUGAAAACUUUUUGAACUUAUAAUUCAAAAUACAACUUUCAACAACGGAUCUCUAGGUUCUC